rnacentral:rRNA from 1 species
GAUGAACGCUAGCUACAGGCUUAACACAUGCAAGUCGAGGGGUAACGAGAGGGAAGCUUGCUUUCCUUGUCGACGACCGGCGCACGGGUGAGUAACGCGUAUCCAACCUGCCCCCAACUAGGGAAUAACCUUGCGAAAGUAAGACUAAUACCCUAUAAUUUCCUCAGAUGACAUCUGACGAGGAAUAAAGAUUUAUCGGUUGUGGAUGGGGAUGCGUCUGAUUAGCUUGUUGGCGGGGUAACGGCCCACCAAGGCAACGAUCAGUAGGGGUUCUGAGAGGAAGGUCCCCCACAUUGGAACUGAGACACUGUCCAAACUCCUACGGGAGGCAGCAGUGAGGAAUAUUGGUCAAUGGGCGGAAGCCUGAACCAGCCAAGUAGCGUGCAGGAUGACGGCCCUAUGGGUUGUAAACUGCUUUUAUACAGGAAUAAAGUUAGCCACGUGUGGUUAUUUGUAGGUACUGUAUGAAUAAGGACCGGCUAAUUCCGUGCCAGCAGCCGCGGUAA